rnacentral:lncRNA from 1 species
AAAGGAGCCGUAGUUAAAGGUGCUGUAAGGCCCUCGGGGAGUUUCUGGUGCUGGAUUCAAAUAAUUGUUAUGCAUGUGUUGCUUUGUUUUGUUUUGUUUAAUGGGUCAGUUAGCCAUGGUUUAAGCUGUUUUCAUUCACCGUGACUCUAACACUAGGCUAAGGGCUUUUACUGGAGUGAGAAAGCAUCUUAUUUAUAGCAGAAGGAAGUUGGAGGGACACCGAGAAAGAUUAUUACCACUGUCUGUCGGAUAUGAAGACCCUGGAGUAGGUGAGCUUUUGAUGUGUGGAACCUUAAUUUAUCUCUAGUAUAGUAGACAAAACGAAUUACUUAAAUCUCUUUGACAAGAAAGAGUCCAAAAACCCUCUCUUCCUCCACCUUGCUCCAGAUGGUGCUUAGUUCAAAUGACCUUUCCCAGUAAUUGGUCUUGUAGGUGCAAAUGAGGCAGCGAAUAGGGAGUGCCUUACAUGUUUACUCUGGAUCCUCACAUCAUCCGAGCUUACCCCCAUUUCAGUUGCCUUUGUUCUAAAAGUACAUCUUAAACUUUUUUCCAACAAUAAUCUGGGGA